rnacentral:lncRNA from 1 species
AACAACUUUGCUAGAUAAGAUAGCGCAUGAGCUUUGCCAGUCGGUUCGGGUUGAACCGGUGUCAUAACUUGAACCGUAAGCACAUUUGACAGAAACACGGUUCGGACCAAGCCGGUUUGGAAAUUUCCACGGCCGUGUUAUUGUUAUGUGGUUGAAAUUGAGGGUGUUAGAAGAGGGAGGUGGAGAUAGAGUAUUCAUUAUUGAAAUGGGGGUGUUGAAAGCAAUUAAAAAUAGAAAGGGAAAAAGUGUGUGUUAUU